GACGAACGCUGGCGGCGUGCUUAACACAUGCAAGUCGAACGGAGUGGCGAACUGGUGAGUAACACGUGGUUGACCUGCCCUGCACUUCGGGAUAAGCCUGGGAAACUGGGUCUAAUACCGGUUAGUGUGGGAUGGGCCCGCGGCCUAUCAGCUUGUUUGUGGGGUGAUGGCCGACCAAGGCGGCGACGGGUAGCCGGCCUGGGAGGGUGGACGGGCACCUUGGAACUGAGCCACGGCCCAUACUCCUACGGGAGGCGGCGGUGGAGAAUAUAGCACAAUGGGCGCAAGCCUGAUGCAUCAAUGCCGAGUGUAUGAAGAAGGCCUUAGGGUUGUAAAGUACUUUCAGCGUGGAGGAGGUUAAUUCCCUUGUCAAUUGACGUACCAGCAGAAGAAGCACCGGUACUCGUGCCAGCCGCCGCGGUAAUUC
rnacentral:rRNA from 1 species